rnacentral:rRNA from 1 species
GACGAACGCUGGCGGCGUGCCUAAUACAUGCAAGUAGAACGCUGAAGGAGGAGCUUGCUUCUCUGGAUGAGUUGCGAACGGGUGAGUAACGCGUAGGUAACCUGCCUGGUAGCGGGGGAUAACUAUUGGAAACGAUAGCUAAUACCGCAUAAGAGUAGAUGUUGCAUGACAUUUGCUUAAAAGGUGCACUUGCAUCACUACCAGAUGGACCUGCGUUGUAUUAGCUAGUUGGUGGGGUAACGGCUCACCAAGGCGACGCUACAUAGCCGACCUGGGAGGGUGGUCGGCCACCCUGGGACUGAGACACGGCCCAGACUCCUACGGGAGGCAGCAGUAGGGAAUCUUCGGCAAUGGACGGAAGUCUUGCCGAGCAACGCCGCGUGGGUGAAGAAGGUUUUCGGAUCGUAAAGCUCUGUUGUAAGAGAAGAAUGAGUGUGAGAGUGGAAAGUUCACACUGUGACGGUAUCUUACCAGAAAGGGACGGCUAACUACGUG